UACAGAGACUGCAAGCGUUAUUCGGAAUCACUGGGCGUAAAGGGCGCGUAGGCGGUCGGAUAAGUCCUUGUGUGAAAUCUUCGGGCUCAACUCGAAGUCUGCACAGGAAACUAUCUGGCUUGAGUGUGGGAGAGGUGAGUGGAAUUCCUGGUGUAGCGGUGAAAUGCGUAGAUAUCAGGAGGAACACCUGUGGCGAAAGCGGCUCACUGGACCAUUACUGACGCUGAGGCGCGAAAGCGUGGGGAGCAAACAGG
rnacentral:rRNA from 1 species